UCCCUCAUUCCCCUUCCCGUCUACCUUCCACUGGAAGCGACGGCUUGAAACAGUGCCAUCUGUGUUUGCAGUGAGAGAACUCACGUCUCAGGUGUGCAGAGGCAAACAAGCGGAAGCUCAGAUGUCAGCCGGCUCCCUCCGCCCAGGAGCCGGGACACGGUCCAGAACGUAGGACACCGGAGUGUGAGAGAGUCGAGCGUCACUCUGGCGACAGUUUACAGGUAGGCAGGGACAGAGCUCCGUGGCUCUUAGAUGUUUUUCUUCCACUGUCUCCUGGAAAGCCGUGGAUUCACCCCCCACCCCUAAAUUAGCAAAAUGCUCCACUGGCCUUCAGGGACCUCUUCUCUUCACACAGAACACCAGGCUGCGAGGGCGUCGUGGUUUCAACGUCUUCACGGGCUUCCUAGGAGGUCCCUGAGGCCAGUCUAAAGGUGCUGAUGUAAUCCCCAAAGAGACAGAUCUGUCAGAGGUAAGGAAAGUGUCCCCAGGAUGGAUAAGAGGAAGCAGCCAGAAGCUCCUGGAGCACAGGACUGUGGCCUGCUUUCCAGACUGUCUGCUUCUGCCCCUUCACUCGCCCGCUUAUCUCAACUGCAAUGCCCUUCAUCUCAGAGCGCUUCUGUAUAACCUCCCACAGCCCAGCCAUUAAUCAUUCAACAACAAACCCCUUGGGAGCACCGGUUGAAAAAUGAGUUAGAUCUUGGGAUUUUCUGCUUCAUGUUCUAAUUGAACUUCAGUAGAACUAUUAAGAGACCAUUUUUUGAUAAUUCUGCUUUAUUUACUUUUCAAAUUUAAGCCCUAUCAGAGAAAUAAAUAAAAAAGGGCAGCAUUCCAAGAAGGAGAUUCUUUGCAUCACUUCAUGAGCUCCAGCAUCUUAGACUCUGAGAAAGCCCUGUUGCUUCUAGGAUGGUCCAAGUCUUCGCUCCAUCCCACGCUGGGCACAGGCGAGCAUGCUGUCCCCUUUGGGAAGCUUGGAGAGCUGCUCCAUGUGGGUCCUGGUCUGGGAGAAAAAGGAAGAUGAAAGGAGAAAAUGAGAAACGUUCAUUUUUGUUUUUUCUGACUUAUUUUUGUUUAAUAAGGUAUGUUAACACUUCUGUAAAUGUCUGAGGAAGGGCAGUGAACUCUACAAGGAGAGUCAUGAAAGAUCCUUCAGAAAGUCUGUUCCGCGAUUGUCUGGGACUCCGGAGCCGUGAUUGUCUUCUUCUUCACAUACUAUGUGUGGAUUAGAGAAUGACCCAUGAUUCUUCGGUGUUGUUUUUAUUGUGAUUAUAAUUAAGUGCAAGGAUUUAAAGUUUUUCACACUUGUAAGCAUUUCCGAAUAUUUUUCUUCAUUAUGUUUUGCUCAAAGCUCUUCUAGCACUUUGCUUUUUCGUACGUUCUCACAUGUUAGUAUGCUAAGUUCUCACAGCAAGUUCAGGAGAUGUUAAUUUUCCUCUGAGAUCAAGAAAGUUGCACAUAUAAUAUUAAAAUGGGAAAAAAAUGAUUCAUAAUAGUUCAGAAAACACAGACCUGAUUGCAUCAUUUCCGUCCUUGAAUGGCUGCCGCUACUCCCCUUUGCAUUAGACGGAGCUUAGGCCGGUUGGUUGGCAGUUCAGAAGCAUGCCCUUGUGACGCCCACCCCAAACCUAGUCUCACCCUAACUCGGAUCUCAUCCCUCACCACUAGCUACCUGCCUCAUCCAUUUCACAUCCCAGUCCUGUGGCUGCUCGCACUUUCUACAUCACGCCUUGGGCUUAGAGCUACCUCCAAAUCUUUUGCUCAAUUUAUUUCUCUCACCUACGUUGUCCUUCUCUCUCUCCUCUUGAAAGAAAAUUUUAUUCAUCAUCCAAGAUUGAGGUUUCUGAGAGCUAUCUUGAUCCUAUUGGCCAAAAUGAAUAUUUCUCUAUUUCAGGCUUUCAUAGCACUUUAUUAGUUCCUGUGUUAUGAAGACAAUGGUUAAUUAGCUUUAUAUUAAAGACAGCUGCACAUACUGCUGCCUCAUCGAUGAGAUUUCAGAUUCCUUGAAGACCACACUCCGUGUAUGUAGAAUUGAAAUAGCUAUCAUUUAUCAAAUGUGAAUGCACACUACCCUAUUUGCAGAUGUUUUCCAAUGUCCACAUUUAUUGUGAAAAUUUCGUAAAAUAUUGAUGAACUCGAAUUUCUUUCCUUCUGACCCAUACAAACAAGAACCAACCCAAAUAUCAAAUUACUGGGUAAUCCACUAUUACUGUAUCACGAGAAAUACUGCACAUUAACAUAAGAAUAUAUGUGGAUGUGCUUUGGAAAUUAUAAAGCACAAUAUUUAAACUAAUUGGUAUUACACAGAGAACUUUAAGUAUAGACCCCAAAAAGCCAUACCUACCUUCUCCGUCUUCCCAGGUUUUGGGAAUUAUUUUAUUUCAUGAACUUUUACAAACCAUUUUCCUUUC